UACGUAGGGGUGCGAGCGUUGUCCGGAAUUAUUGGGCGUAAAGAGCUCGUAGGCGGUGUGUCACGUCGGCCGUGAAAACCUGCAGCUUAACUGUGGGCGUGCGGUCGAUACGGGGCAUCACUGGAGUUCGGCAGGGGAGACUGGAAUUCCUGGUGUAGCGGUGAAAUGCGCAGAUAUCAGGAGGAACACCGGUGGCGAAGGCGGGUCUCUGGGCAUUAACUGACGUGAGGAGCGAAAGCAUGGGGGAGCGAAACAGGG
rnacentral:rRNA from 1 species